AUUUGAUCUCAAAUCAGGUAAGGCUACCCGCUGAAUUUAAGCAUAUUAAUAAGCGGAGGAAAAGAAAAUAACAAUGAUUCCCCUAGUAACGGC
rnacentral:rRNA from 1 species